CUUCCAUUUAACAUAAAAACAAUAUGAAUCUAAACACAAACAGGUUUUAAGAACAACACUGUUGGGGGACAUUUAAAAAAAACUAAUGACAUCUAGCUUGGACGGUAUUUUGAUCAUUUUUUACAUGUUUAAGUCUUUAAAAAACCCACAUCAUCAGCAAUGAAAUGAUUUACAAUGAUGGCUAGUAAUUCUGUUCAUCCUAUAAGUCUGAUCAAAAUGCAGGGACUUACCAAACAAAUGAAUUACCAGACUUGACUGUAUGUGUAUCAGUUACACUACAAACAAAACUAAAAAUAGCUCUGGAUCAAUCAUCAUUAAAAAUAGUUCAAAUCUUCAUACACACGCUAAUGUGAAAAUAUGAUGCUGAACACUUCUAAAUAUAUU
rnacentral:lncRNA from 1 species